rnacentral:rRNA from 1 species
GCGUGAGUGAUGAAGGCCUUCGGGUUGUAAAGCUCUUUUGGCGGGGACGAUGAUGACGGUACCCGCAGAAUAAGCCCCGGCUAACUUCGUGCCAGCAGCCGCGGUAAGACGAAGGGGGCAAGCGUUGUUCGGAAUUACUGGGCGUAAAGGGCGCGUAGGCGGUCCGAUCAGUCAGGCGUGAAAGCCCUGGGCUUAACCUGGGAGGUGCGCUUGAUACUGUCGGGCUUGAGUGUGGGAGAGGAUGGUGGAAUUCCCAGUGUAGAGGUGAAAUUCGU